UAAUUGAAGAGUUUGAUCAUGGCUCAGAUUGAACGCUGGCGGCAGGCCUAACACAUGCAAGUCGAGCGGUAACAGAGAGUAGCUUGCUACUUUGCUGACGAGCGGCGGACGGGUGAGUAAUGCUUGGGAAUAUGCCUUUUGGUG
rnacentral:ncRNA from 1 species